rnacentral:rRNA from 1 species
GAUGAACGCUGGCGGCGUGCCUAAUACAUGCAAGUCGAGCGAACAGACGAGGAGCUCGCUCCUCUGACGUUAGCGGCGGACGGGUGAGUAACACGUGGAUAACCUACCUAUAAGACUGGGAUAACUUCGGGAAACCGGAGAUAAUACCGGAUAAUAUAUUGAACCGCAUGGUUCAAUAGUGAAAGACGGUUUUGCUGUCACUUAUAGAUGGAUCCGCGCCGCAUUAGCUAGUUGGUAAGGUAACGGCUUACCAAGGCAACGAUGCGUAGCCGACCUGAGAGGGUGAUCGGCCACACUGGAACUGAGACACGGUCCAGACUCCUACGGGAGGCAGCAGUAGGGAAUCUUCCGCAAUGGGCGAAAGCCUGACGGAGCAACGCCGCGUGAGUGAUGAAGGUCUUCGGAUCGUAAAACUCUGUUAUUAGGGAAGAACAAAUGUGUAAGUAACUAUGCACGUCUUGACGGUACCUAAUCAGAAAGCCACGGCUAACUACGUG